UGGGGAAUAUUGGACAAUGGGCGAAAGCCUGAUCCAGCCAUGCCGCGUGUGUGAAGAAGGUCUUCGGAUUGUAAAGCACUUUAAGUUGGGAGGAAGGGCAGUAAGCGAAUACCUUGCUGUUUUGACGUUACCGACAGAAUAAGCACCGGCUAACUCUGUGCCAGCAGCCGCGGUAAUACAGAGGGUGCAAGCGUUAAUCGGAAUUACUGGGCGUAAAGCUCGCGUAGGUGGUUCGUUAAGUUGAAUGUGAAAGCCCCGGGCUCAACCUGGGAACUGCAUCCAAAACUGGCGGGCUAGAGUAGGGCAGAGGGUGGUGGAAUUUCCUGUGUAGCGGUGAAAUGCGUAGAUAUAGGAAGGAACACCAGUGGCGAAGGCGAGCACCUGGGCUCAUACAGACACUGAGGUGCGAAAAAGUGGGGAGCAAACAGG
rnacentral:rRNA from 1 species